GUUCCUGGCUCAGGACGAACGCUGGCGGCGCGCCUAACACAUGCAAGUCGAACGGAGAUUACAGGCGGAAGUUUUCGGAUGGAAGCUUGUAAACUUAGUGGCGGACGGGUGAGUAACACGUGAGCAACCUGCCUAUCAGAGGGGGAUAACGAUUGGAAACGAUCGCUAAUACCGCAUGACAUAGCGGAACCGCAUGGUUCUGUUAUCAAAGAUUUUAUCGCUGAUAGAUGGGCUCGCGUCCGA
rnacentral:rRNA from 1 species